GGGGGAGUCUCGCUGCCUCCAGGAGGAGCCCGGGAAACUGCCGGACACUUGCAAGUGCUCUCGGCAGCCAACUAAUGACUUAAUGUCCUGCUUUUCAAACACCUGGGAAAGACAGUUUCAGACAUGUAAAGUAUCAUCCAAUCAGAUGGGACACAGUCCUGAUUCUGUGGCUCUCCCCCUGACGCUUCACUCCAAUACACAAUCAGGAUAUGACCCGUUUACCAGGCUUUGCCCAUGCGCCUGGGCUGUGAGACAUGACCAUAUUCUGCGUUAGUGAUAUAUGAGACCCAGUAAAGCAAGGGCUCAGAGAAGGGGCCCCUUUCGCCCAGGUCUUGCCCCGAUGAUGGAUGGUGCAAUUAAGGGAUGGCACUGUGGAUGAAUUCUGGCUAAUGAUGACACUUUCAAAGCAGAAAAGAAGCUGAACCACAGAUAAAGUUCCAUUUUUUGGAGUGUCCUUUGGUGAAGCUUUCCCUAAUAUCUCCUCUUCCCUUAUAGACGGGAUUAAUUAA